AAGAAAGUCGUAAAGGUUACAGAUUGGCUUGAAACCAAUCUUUGAGGGCUCAAUUCCUUCCUUUCUUG
rnacentral:tRNA from 1 species